rnacentral:lncRNA from 1 species
AUCAAAUAAAUUUUCAAACACAUGUAUUUCAACAAAAUGUACAUGUAUCCAAAAAUAUCCCACGUGUAUACAAAAAAACGUACAAUGUUGAAAAAAGUAGACACUUAUUGAACUGAAAAAAAUAUAGGAAACCCAACAAAAAGGACAUAGAACCGAUGAAAGAAACAUCGAAGGCACCGCAAAAAGGACACACAAAAACCAUGUGAAAAGUCAGUCAAAACCAC